rnacentral:rRNA from 1 species
AUAAGAGCAAAGGGUGAAUGCCUUGGCAUCAAGAACCGAUGAAGGACGUAAAAAGCUGCGAUAAGCUUCGGGGAGGCGCACAUAGCCAUUGAUCCGGAGAUUUCCGAAUGGGGAAACCUGGCAGUAAAAAGUACUGUCAUCCUAUGAUGAAUAAAAUAGUCAUAGGAAGGGAACGCUCUGAACUGAAACAUCUAAGUAGGAGCAGGAAGAGAAAGAAACAUCGAUUUUCUAAGUAGCGGCGAGCGAACGGGAAAGAGGCCAAACCAAGAUUUAUCUUGGGGUUGUGGACUACGGAAUUGAUUGUAAUCUGAUAGUGGAAGGGUUUUGGGAAAGCCCACCAAAGAGAGUGAAAGUCUCGUACACGAAAUUGGAGAGCACAUGGUAGUAUCCAGAGUACAUCGGGACACGAGAAACCCUGAUGGAAGCCGGGGGGACCACCCCCCAAGCCUAAAUAUUCCUUGAUGACCGAUAGCGAAGAAGUACUGUGAAGGAAAGGUGAAAAGAACCCCGGGAGGGGAGUGAAAGAGAACCUGAAACCCUUUGUUUACAAACAGUCGAAGUUUUUAGGAACGACGGCGUACUUUUUGUAGAACGGUCCGGCGAGUUACAGUGGCUAGCGAGGUUAAGGUGUCAAGCACCGAAGCCGAAGGGAAACCAAGUCUUAAUAGGGCGUCUAGUUAGUUAAUGUAGACCCGAAACCGGGUGACCUAUCCAUGAGCAGGUUGAAGUUACCGUAAAAGGUAAUGGAGGACCGAACUCACAUCUGUUGAAAAAGGUGGAGAUGACUUGUGGAUAGCGGAGAAAUUCCAAUCGAACUCGGAGAUAGCUGGUUCUCCUCGAAAUAGCUUUAGGGCUAGCCUUGAAUAGUGUCUAGUGGAGGUAAAGCACUGACUUGACGCGGGUCCCCAAAAGGAUACCAACUCAUAUCAAACUAAGAAUGCCAUAUAGAUAAAUUCAGGAGUCAGACUAUGGGAGAUAAGUUUCAUGGUCAAAAGGGAAAGAGCCCAGACCGACAGCUAAGGUCCCUAAGUGUGUGUUAAGUGGAAAAGGAUGUGAGAUUUCGAAGACAACUAGGAUGUUGGCUUAGAAGCAGCCACUCAUUUAAAGAGUGCGUAACAGCUCACUAGUCGAGAGGUCUUGCGCCGAAAAUGUCCGGGGCUAAAACACACCACCGAAGCUACGGAAUUACCUAUGGUAAUUGGUAGAGGAGCAUUCUGUAAGGAAGAAGUCAAAGUGAAAGCGAAGAUGGACGAAACAGAAGAGAGAAUGCCGGAAUGAGUAGCGAGAUAUAUGUGAGAAUCAUAUAGGUCGAAUGUCUAAGGUUUCCUGGGUAAAGCUGAUCUGCUCAGGGUAAGUCGGGACCUAAGGUGAGGGCGAGAGCCGUAAUCGAUGGACAACAGGUAGAAAUUCCUGUACUACGUAUAUUCAGAACUGUGGGGACACAGGAGGAUAGGGAAUCCUGGUAAUGGAAUACCGGGCUAAGCACAAAGCUGUGGCAGUAGGCAAAUCCGCUGCAUAAAGUGAAGUGUGAUAGGGAGCGAAGAAAAGUAGCGAAGUUUCUGAAUCCACACUGUCGAGAAAAGCCGCUAUAGUGAUAUACGUACCCGUACCGCAAACCGACACAGGUAGACGAGGAGAAAAUCCACAGACCGACGGGAGAAGUGUUGUUAAGGAACUCGGCAAAAUGACCCCGUAACUUAGGGAGAAGGGGUGCCUACUUAGGUAGGCCGCAGAGA